rnacentral:rRNA from 1 species
AUUGAACGCUGGCGGCAUGCCUUACACAUGCAAGUCGAACGGCAGCGCGGACUUCGGUCUGGCGGCGAGUGGCGAACAGGUGAGUAAUACAUCGGAACGUACCCUGUUGUGGGGGAUAACUAGUCGAAAGAUUAGCUAAUAACGCAUACGACCUGAGGGUGAAAGUGGGGGACGGCAAGGCCUCACGCAGCAGGAGCGGCCGAUGUCUGAGUAGCUAGUUGGUGGGGUAAAGGCCAACCAAGGCGACGAUCAGUAGCUGGUCUGAGAGGACGAUCAGCCACACUGGGACUGAGACACGGCCCAGACUCCUACGGGAGGCAGCAGUGGGGAAUUUUGGACAAUGGGGGCAACCCUGAUCCAGCAAUGCCGCGUGUGUGAAGAAGGCCUUCGGGUUGUAAAGCACUUUUGUCCGGAAAGAAAUCGCGCUGGUUAAUACCUGGCGUGGAUGACGGUACCGGAAGAAUAAGCACCGGCUAACUACGUGCCAGCCGCCGCGGUAA